rnacentral:rRNA from 1 species
CCUACGGGAGGCAGCAGUGGGGAAUAUUGGGCAAUGGGCGCAAGCCUGACCCAGCAACGCCGCGUGAAGGAAGGAGGCCCUCGGGUUGUAAACUUCUUUUGUCAGAGACGAGGAAAGUGACGGUACCUGACGAAUAAGCCACGGCUAACUACGUGCCAGCGGCUGCGGUAUUACGUAGGUGGCAAGCGUUAUCCGGAUUUACUGGGUGUAAAGGGAGUGUAGGCGGGACUGCAAGUCAGAUGUGAAAUUCCAGUGAUCACCCCUGGAACCGGAUUUGAAACUGUAGUUCUUGAGUGAUGGAGAGGCAGGCGGAAUUCCGUGUGUAGCGGUGAUAUGCGUAGAGAUACGGAGGAACACCAGUGGCGAAGGCGGCCUGCUGGACAUUAACUGACGCUGAGGCGCGAAAGCGUGGGGAGCAAACAGGAUUAGAUACCCCAGUAGUC